rnacentral:rRNA from 1 species
UACGUAGGGGGCAAGCGUUGUCCGGAAUCAUUGGGCGUAAAGAGCGCGUAGGCGGCCCUGUAAGUCCGCUGUGAAAGUCAAGGGCUCAACCCUUGAAUGCCGGUGGAUACUGCAGGGCUAGAGUCCGGAAGAGGCGAGUGGAAUUCCUGGUGUAGCGGUGAAAUGCGCAGAUAUCAGGAGGAACACCGAUGGCGAAGGCGACUACCCUGGCCUGUUCUUGACGCUGAGGCGCGAAAGCUAGGGGAGCAAACGGG